UGCUUCUACCAGGAACUAAUGGUGAUUCCUGCCUCGCGAUUUCUCUUCCAUGUCUUGAAUUAAGUCAUGCAUUCUCACUCAACCAUUGCCAUCAAUUUUAUGAGAGAUUUUUUAGUCAGCACUUGAAGGCCAUCUUCCGCAUGAAAACCAUUGAUUAUAACUUUGCUGCCAGAGCCAAACCAGUCACAUCCUCCUAGCAGAGAUGCCACUUCUAGCACUGCGGAUUCUAGUGCAACUGGGUUAUCAGCAACAUGUAAAGGAGUGCGAUCAAUCUUAUUAGAGACUUCUUCAACGAUAUUCCUAAGAAAUAUGUAUUCUGAUUGAGACCUACGCAUUAUAGUAGUACAAGUGAUUGGUAAUCGAAGCUUUGAAUUAAUUCUUAGUUCUUAGUUUCAUCUUAGUCAAAAUUAAUUAGAGUAUAUAUGCAAUUAGUUUAUAGAAAAAACAAUUUGUGAAGGACAAUUAGUGAACUAAUGAAGAAAUUGACAUAAUACAAAUUAU